AGCUUGCUCCCUGAUGUUAGCGGCGGACGGGUGAGUAACACGUGGGUAACCUGCCUGUAAAACUGGGAUAACUCCGGGAAACCGGGGCUAAUACCGGAUGGUUGUUUGAACCGCAUGGUUCAAACAUAAAAGGUGGCUUCGGCUACCACUUACAGAUGGACCCGCGGCGCAUUAGCUAGUUGGUGAGGUAACGGCUCACCAAGGCAACGAUGCGUAGCCAACCUGAGAGGGUGAUCGGCCACACUGGGACUGAGACACGGCCCAGACUCCUACGGGAGGCAGCAGUAGGGAAUCUUCCGCAAUGGACGAAAGUCUGACGGAGCAACGCCGCGUGAGUGAUGAAGGUUUUCGGAUCGUAAAGCUCUGUUGUUAGGGAAGAACAAGUACCGUUCGAAUAGGGCGGUACCUUGACGGUACCUAACCAGAAAGCCACGGCUAACUACGUGCCAGCAGCCGCGGUAAUACGUAGGUGGCAAGCGUUGUCCGGAAUUAUUGGGCGUAAAGGGCUCGCAGGCGGUUUCUUAAGUCUGAUGUGAAAGCCCCCGGCUCAACCGGGGAGGGUCAUUGGAAACUGGGGAACUUGAGUGCAGAAGAGGAGAGUGGAAUUCCACGUGUAGCGGUGAAAUGCGUAGAGAUGUGGAGGAACACCAGUGGCGAAGGCGACUCUCUGGUCUGUAACUGACGCUGAGGAGCGAAAGCGUGGGGAGCGAACAGGAUUAGAUACCCUGGUAGUCCACGCCGUAAACGAUGAGUGCUAAGUGUUAGGGGGUUUCCGCCCCUUAGUG
rnacentral:rRNA from 1 species